CACCCCUAGCAAUGGGCAAGGAGACACCUGUUUGGUGAUAUCGCUCUGAUAUCAAUCAGGGGCAAAGCAGAUGUACAGUCCUUAGUCCAUCCUAGCUUGAACUAGCUUGAACUCUCUA
rnacentral:snoRNA from 1 species